rnacentral:lncRNA from 1 species
AUAACUCAAAUUAUAAAGCCGUGAUACCUCCUGUAGAAAAAUGUAGUGUAUAUCCUUAUUACAUUUUAAAAAAGUUCAAUGUCAGUGAUCAAUAUACAUGUGCAUCAUUGUUAAGCUUCAUAUUUCAUAUAAGUGAUAAAUUAAGAAAACUACUUCAAAUAUAAUAAAAAUACUAUAUAAAAAAUAUAAAUUCAUGUACUUGAUUGAUAAUUGUUAGGCUCAGUGUUAGGACAGAAACAAAUAGUUUUAUCAACUAGAGUCUAGGUUGGAAAUAAUUUUUUUUUACAGCUACGUUCCCUUUGACAGAUUAGUUACACUCAUUGUUUUAAAAGCAGUUUAACAUGUCUAACAUGUUAAUGUCCCUAUACAAUACGUUGAAUACAUCGACGGAGCUUUCUUAUUCCAUCAGAUGUGAUGACAUACAUUUAAAUGCAUUAAUUACGAACCACAUUGGUCUACAUCCCGAGGUAUCCUUGUGACAAAGUUGGUUCACUUCUUUUAAACAUGCGUCUAGUUACCCUUUUGUGCGACCAUUAUUAAUAUCGUUAACGGAAUGAUCAGCAACUUUGUUUAGUCAAGUAAACAAAAAAUCGCAUCAUAAUUCACAACAUUUUACCCUUAGAAAUAUUUAAAUCAAAGUAAUAACAAUGUAUGAAAUAGUUCGUUCAAAGCGUGCCAAACACUACUUUUAUUUCAUAAUUCCUGUAUUGUUGUACAAACAAAAAUGCAAGGACAAUUCGGUAAAGGCAUUAAUAGAAAAAUAUUAUCCAUAUUUAAGCACUUAUUCACUGACUGUCUGUAGAGUAAGUAGCGUCUAGGACAGUCAUCUAAAUAAAGAAUACACAUCUUGUACCUCUAUUUAUAGAACAUUUUACAUACAAUUGUCAGAUCUAUUUUUAUAAUCGCAAAAUUUAUCAGAUAUUUAUACUACAAUUUCAUGGUAAACCCAUUGAACAUAUUUAAAUAAUCUAUGCAACAAUUUAAAAUAAGAUUAUGAAAUGACAGUGCUAUUUUAAAAUAUUCUAUAUAUAUCUACAUAUUUACACAUACUACACACAUAAAAAGGAACAUAUUAAUGUUUGAACUU